rnacentral:rRNA from 1 species
AGCGAACGUUUGCGGCGGGCCUAACACAUGCAAGUCGAACGGGCUAGCAAUAGUCAGUGGCGCACGGGUGCGUAACACGUGGGUAAUCAACCCUUCAGCUCGGGAUAACGCCUUGAAAGGGGCGCUAAUACCGGAUGCGACGCGAGGAGCCUCGGCGCUUCACGGGAAAGAUUCGCAAGGAUCACUGAAGGACGAGCCUGCGGCCCAUCAGCUAGUUGGUGAGGUAAGAGCUCACCAAGGCCGAAGACGGGUAGCUGGUCUGGAGAGGAUGAUCAGCCACACGUGGAACUGAGACACGGUCCAGACCUCCGUACGGGAGCAGC